UGCUUGACCCGUCUUGUAACACGGACCAAGGAGUCUAACAGAUGUGCAAAUUUGUGGGUGCGCAAACCUGUUUGUGAAAUGAAAGUAUUGGCUGGGAUACUUGCACCAGCAGCCGACCAAUUGGCAGACAGAGGUUUGAGCUUGAGCAUAUCUAUUAGGACCCGAAAGAUGGUGAACUAUGACUGAACAGAAUGAAUUCAGAGGAAACUCUGAUGGAGGUUCGUAUCGUUACUGACGUGCAAAUCGUUCGUCAUACUUGGGUAUAGGGGCGAAAGACUAAUCGAACCAUCUAGUAGCUGGUUCCCUCCGAAAUUUCCCUCAGGAUAGCAGGAACCUAGCAGUUUUACCGGGUAAAGCGAAUGAUUAGAGGGCCGGGAGUUGCAACAACUUCCACCUAUUCUCAAACUUUGAAUUGGUAAGCGCUGCAGUUGCUUAGUUGAACUGCAGCACGAAUGCGGGUUCCUAGUGGGCCAUUUUUGGUAAGCAGAACUGGCGAUGAGGGCUGAACCUAACGCGAGGAUAAGGCGACCCACUGGCGGCUCAUAGAUACCAGAAAAGGUGUUAGUUCAUUUAGACAGUAGGACGGUGGCCAUGGAAGUCGGAACCCGCUAAGGAGUGUGUAACAACUCACCUGCCGAAUGAACUAGUCCUGAAAAUGGAUGUCGCUAAGCCGCCGGCCGAUGCCUCGCCAUCCUAGACAAAGGAUGAGUAGGAGGGCGUGAGGGCCGCGCAGAAGCAUAUGCGUGAGCGUGUGUGGAGCGACUCUCAGUGCGGAUCUUGGUGGUAGUAGCAACUAUUCAAAUGAGAACUUUGAAGACUGAAGUGGAGAAGGGUUUCAUGAGAACAUCAAUUGGUCAUGAGUGACUCGGUCCUAAGGUCAGGGGUAGUCCCGCGAAGACGCAGUCCAGGCCGAAAGGGAAGAUGGUCAAAAUUCCAUCAGCUAGCGGUGGGUGCUGUGUGGCAACACUACUGAACUCAGAGACGUCGGGGCGAGGUCCCAGGGAGAGUUCUCUUCUCUUCUUAACAAAUCGCUGCCCUGGAGGUCAUUGCGACGAGAUAGGGCUUUAGAUUUGGCAGAGCAGCACGCCUCCUGUGCUGUCUGGUGUACCUCCUUCGGCCCUUGAAAAUCUGAGGGAAACCUUAUCGCACGCUAGGCCGUACCGAUAACCGCAUCAGGUCUCCAAGGUGAACAGCCUCUAGUCGAUAGAAUAAAGUAGAUAAGGGAAUUCGGCAAAAUAGAUCUGUAACUUUGGGAAAAAGAUUGGCUCUGAGGGUUAGGCCGUAGUCUUCUGAACCUCGCCAAGCGGUCCAGUGUGUGAGGCAACUCCGCACGACUGCUGAAACGAGCUAGGAAAGACGAAAGCAGUGAAUAACCGACUCAGAACUGGAGCAGCGAGAGGAAUCCGACUGUUUAAUUAAAACAAAGCAUUGUGACGGCUGCAAACGGUGUUGACACAAUGUGAUUUCUGCCCAGUGCUCUGAAUGUCAAGGUGAAGAAAUUCACUCAAGCGCGGGUAAACGGCGGGAGUAACUAUGACUCUCUUAAGGUAGCCAAAUGCCUCGUC
rnacentral:rRNA from 14 species